GGUGGUGGGGCCUGAGGAGGGCGGCGAGAGGUGGGGUGGGGCCCAGCAGCUGCUCCAAGCUUUUCUGCCAUUUGAAGCUUCUUCUGGGAGCCAGCUGUGACCAGAGGAAUAGCUCCAGCCAUCCGGGUUUUAGCUAAAGAAGAUACUGAGGCAGCUAUUCAAUCAAUAUUAUACAAAGAAAAUUCUGUAAUUAAGGGAAAUGCAUUUAUAGAACAUUAUGAUCCAAAAGAGUAUGAUCCCUUUUAUAUGAGCAAGAAGGACCCCAAUUUUCUGAAGAUGUUCUUUGUGAUGAAAUGGGAGUAUGCGAACAGCACUUCUGCUGCAUACUGAAAUAUGGAUGAUUGCUUGAAUUGUGAGCUGAACUGGCUGCUUUUUUUUCUUCCAUGAAACACCAUUUUUACUUGAAAGAAUGACUUACAAACUAUGGUUAGUAAGUCUUGGGUAUUUGGCAGAUAUUUUCUGGAAAAUGAAUGAAGUCAGCUUGUCACUUUGAGAAAAACUACUGACAAUAUUUGUUGCCAAUGAUAAAAGGUUACCAUCCCACCAUUUCAUGACCCUUUGAAAAAAGCACAAUAUGACAAGGAU
rnacentral:sRNA from 1 species